rnacentral:lncRNA from 1 species
UAUAUAAUAUAAUUAGAGCUAGCAAUUUUUGCUAGUUUGUGAAAUUGGCAUGACAUCUACAGUUGAAAAUUUGGUACUAUUUGGAUUAUUAGGUGUAUAUACACUUUCUAUGAUAUCUGAAGAUCUAUUAGUCAGAUUAAGGUGAAAAUUGGCAUGGUCUUGGAGGACUAAAAGAUCAAACUACACAAAAAUUUUGAGACAAAGUUAAAAAUUGGAGAAAGAGAAAUCAUUGCUGGAAUUUCUACUUCAUUUUUCAAGUUGGCAGCCUAGUGACAUUGG